UUUUUUUUUUUUUUCCUCCUUGUAUAUCAAAAGUAUAUAUCACAUAUUUUUCUCUCUUUUUAAUGAGCAAACUGAAAGGAUUCUGAACCUACAUAACAGAAAAAGGUUGUCAUUAGUUUGCUUGAGUAUCACAGACUACCCACUUUUUCCUCUGAAAACAUCUCAGGAACAACUGUGCUUCAUGGGCAACCAGCAGUACUUCCUACUGACAUUGAAUAGUGAAGGUGCACCUUAACCCUUAUCUCUAGCCUUUAUCCAGCCCUAAAAAGGCUGACAUAUCAGGCCUCAAGAGCUCCAGAAGAGAAAAGGAUGAAGCCUUUCCCAUACACUUUGCUUGCUGACAUCCACCAAUAGCUCUGCCCAUAGACACCUCCUAAUUAUGCUCUGCAUAGAGAGGAAAGGAGUGAGUGAAGAACAUUUAAGAUUAAUAUAAAAUAUCUUGAUAUAACCCAGGAUUCUGCAUCCCUUUCUUCCCCAAACCUUUUUUAUGUGAGAUACUUGGAAGAGUUUUAGUUUUAAUCCCCUCCUCUUGCCCAUCCUGUUAUGAGCUUGACUAAGCGAUCCAAACGCUACAUGCCAGGGGGACAGGAAAAGAAGGGGGCGGGGAAAGAGUCCCCCCGCCGCCCAAAUGCAUACAUUGCCUCCUGUCUGACACAUAACUUAGGAACCUUAGGAAUCCAUCAUCAGUCCUAUGAAGUCUGACAUUGUCCCUGUUAUCGACAGCUGAAAAGUAAAGCUGGAAGAAUACAUAAUUCAUUAACUCAUGAAAAGUGCAAAGAAGAUUUAUCCCCAUCUUCCCUUCCUCCAAAAACAUAAACACUACAUUUCAAUGGAGUUAAACGCAAGAGCUUCCUCUCAGAACAACUGUAAAAAAAAAUCACAGGAUGUAUAAAAUCAUUUUAGUAGGUAAAAAAGAAUAAACAGGAAAUCCCCAGCAUCCCCACCUGGCAUUACUCUAGCUGCUGCUCACGCUGAGGAAUCCUGAAGAGAUGUAUCAAACCACAGCUAUUGUGGGAACUUUCUUCACUCGAGCACCACUUUUGUACACUCAAUUUUUACGGAGUCUCAUCAAGGAAGAGCUUAAAUUUGAAAUGGAUUUGCAUUUUGGUGUAUUUCAAUUAGGUAAUGGAAAGCAGAUACCGCACCCUAUGAACUGAGGGAACUCUGGUUUUAACCUAUUGUCUUUGGUUUUCUUCCUGUAUUCAGACAUUCAGGGAAGGAAAGGAAACCAUAUUUAGAGCAUCCGCUCUGUGAUAAAAUGGUGUUUCUGAAGUGUGUCUCACAGACCAACAGCUUCACAAGUCUCUGGAAAUCAUCUUAAAAAGGCAGGUUCCCGGGUCUUCGUCCGUUCGACCUGGCUUUCUGACCAACAGCUCUCAGAUUACGUACAUUGAAGACACACCCCAGGUGAUUCCUCUGUGCUAAAACUCCAGAGUUAAUGAAAGGACUUUGUCUAAAUGCCUUCACAUAGGUCACCUUAUUUAGUCACUUAAGAAUGUAUAUACAAAGCAGAAAUAGACCCACAGGCAUAGUAGACAAAUUUAUGGUUACCAAAAGGGAAGAGGGGAGGGAUAAAUCAGGAGUUUGGGAUUAUCAUAUACACACUACUAUAUAUAAAACAGAUAAUGCGGAAUUACUCUAUUGCUGAACAGGGAACUAUACUCAAUAUUUUGUAAUAACCUAUAAGGGGGAAGAAACUGAAAAAGAAUACACACACACACACACACACACACCACUUUGCUGUACACCUGAAACUAACAAAACACUGUAAAUCAACUAUACUUCAAUAAAAAAUAACUAAAUUUUAUUUAUUUAUUUUGUCUUUUUCUUAGGGCCGCACCCACGGCAUAUGGAGGUUCCCAGUGCAGCUGUUCAAUGGAGAGUCUCAAGUUGUGCACCACGAAUUAGUACUUUCCUUCUGGCUCUUUCCGCCCUGGCCUCUAGUCUGUACGUUGGAUAAAUAAAUCCCGCUUUCCAUGAGAGGCUGAGCUUAUGCAUAAUCAAAGAACUCAACUAUUUUUCUUGAAAUUUUAUAAAACCUUUGAAACUACUGACCUAAAACCAUUGUAUCUUACAAUGGUUAUUUAUAUAUAUAUAAAUCAGAGAAUUAUAAUACUUCUUUUAAGAAUUAUAAGAAAUCACCAACAGUUGGAAGUUCCUUGGAAGAAAAGAUUUUAUCUCAUUCAUAUUUGUGUGCCCAGUACCUGGUACCACAAUUCUGCACAAUGUAGGUCAUUAAUAAAUGCUUAUGAUUAAAUAUAAGCCUUCGAGAUCCAUUUCAGAUCUCUUUUUAAGGGGGCACUUUUUAAGUAACUAUUGCCCAAAAGCCCUAUGAAAAAUAGAUGAAGAACUCACAUUAGUUUUAUUGCAGAAAUUCUAGACUACCAAGUCUCUGGAAUAUAUCACAUGUACAUUGGACACACAUUUUAACCUUAAACUUGUAAAUCCAAGCAACUGUACCAAGGCUUGGUGUGAUGAAACCCAAAGAAAUGAGUCUGGAAACUGGGAAUUCACAGGAGUUUCUGUGGAUUCUGCUAAUUUAAUAGAAGUCAUCUUUAGAAGCCACAGAAGACCUCAGAUUCUUUGUAACACCCAUGCAGGAAAAGAUGCUUUAACCAUUCUUUUUUUUUUUUUUUUUUUGUCUUUUUUAGGGCUGUACCUGCAGCAUAUGGAGGUUCCCAGGCUAGGGAUCUAAUCAGACCUGUGGCUGCUGGCCUAUGCCACAGCCACAGCCAUGUGGGAUCUGAGCCACAUCUGUGACCUACACCACAGCUCAGGGCAAAGCUGGAUCCUUAACCCACUGAGCAAGGCCAGAGAUUGAACCUGCGUUCUUAUGGAUACUAGUUGGGUUUGUUACUGCUGAGCCAUGACAGGAAUUCCUAACCAUUAUUCUUGAAAGCUGUAGAGCAAGAUAACUUAGAAAAGAUGGAUAUAAAAAUAAACAAGGGCUUGGAGUUCCCGUCAUGGUGCAGUAGUUAACGAAUCUGACUAGGAACCAUGAGGUUGCGGGUUCGAUCCCUGCCCUUGCUCAGUGG
rnacentral:lncRNA from 9 species